rnacentral:rRNA from 1 species
UACAGGGGGGGCAAGCGUUGUUCGGAAUUACUGGGCGUAAAGGGUUCGUAGGUGGCCACUUAAGUCAGACGUGAAAUCCCUCAGCUUAACUGGGGAACUGCGUCUGAUACUGGAUGGCUUGAAUCCGGGAGAGGGAUGCGGAAUUCCAGGUGUAGCGGUGAAAUGCGUAGAUAUCUGGAGGAACACCGGUGGCGAAGGCGGCAUCCUGGACCGGUAUUGACGCUGAGGCGCGAAAGCCAGGGGAGCAAACGGG